rnacentral:ncRNA from 23 species
AGACUCUUGAUUGACGAUGGCCCCGUGCAAGCGGGUUAAAAGGGAAUGCUGUAACGCUCCGGCUGGACAAUUCUGUUCCGGGAGCCAGUCAGCGGCUGCUCCCGCAACUGUAUGCGGUAUGCCACCGGUUCGUUCACCUGCGGGUGAGCCACUGUUUCCUUCGGGAAAUGGGAAGGCAUGGACUGGCAGGCCAUGAUCCGUGAGCCAGGAGACCUGCCCUCGUCUGCAAACCACGU